CCUACGGGGGGCAGCAGUGGGGAAUAUUGCACAAUGGGGGAAACCCUGAUGCAGCGACGCCGCGUGAAGGAAGAAGUAUUUCGGUAUGUAAACUUCUAUCAGCAGGGAAGAAGAUGACGGUACCUGACUAAGAAGCCCCGGCUAACUACGUGCCAGCAGCCGCGGUAAUACGUAGGGGGCAAGCGUUAUCCGGAUUUACUGGGUGUAAAGGGAGCGUAGACGGAGCAGCAAGUCUGAUGUGAAAGACCGGGGCUUAACCCCGGGCCUGCAUUGGAAACUGUUGAUCUUGAGUGCCGGAGGGGUAAGCGGAAUUCCUGGUGAAGCGGUGAAAUGCGUAGAUAUCAGGAGGAACACCGGUGGCGAAGGCGGCUUACUGGACGGCAACUGACGUUGAGGCUCGAAAGCGUGGGGAGCAAACAGGAUUAGAUACCCCUGUCGUC
rnacentral:rRNA from 1 species